rnacentral:rRNA from 1 species
GUGGGGAAUAUUGCGCUAAUGCGCGAAAGCGUGACGCAGCGACGCCGCGUGGGGGAUGAAGGCCCUCGGGUCGUAAACCCCUUUCGGCAGGGACGAAGCGAGAGUGACGGUACCUGCAGAAGAAGUCCCGGCUAACUACGUGCCAGCAGCCGCGGUAACACGUAGGGGACGAGCGUUGUCCGGAUUCAUUGGGCGUAAAGCGCGCGUAGGCGGCCCGGAAAGUCGGUUGUGAAAUCCCGGGGCUCAACCCCGGGACCGCGUCCGAAACUUCCGAGCUUGAGGCAGGUAGGGGAGAUCGGAAUUCCUGGUGUAGCGGUGAAAUGCGCAGAUAUCAGGAGGAACACCGGUGGCGAAGGCGGAUCUCUGGGCCUUGCCUGACGCUGAGGCGCGAAAGCUAGGGGAGCGAACAGGAUUAGAAACCCUAGUAGUCC